rnacentral:rRNA from 1 species
CAAUAGCGUAUAUUAAAGUUGUUGCAGUUAAAAAGCUCGUAGUUGGAUUUCUGGUCGGAAGCUCCUGUCCUCUGAUGAGCGUACAAGUGCGUCCUACCAUCCUUCUGUUAACCUUUAAGGCUUUCGCGGCUUUCUAGGGGCUCAGAUAUUUUACCUUGAGAAAAUUAGAGUGCUUCAGGCAGGCUAGCGCCGGAAUACAUUAGCAUGGAAUAAUGGAAUAGGACUUUUGCCUCUUCUGUUGGUCAUGAGGCUCGAGUAAUGAUUAAUAGGGAUAGUUGGGGGCAUUAGUACUUAACUGUCAGAGGUGAAAUUCUCGGAUUUGUUAAAGACUAACUUAUGCGAAAGCAUUUGCCAAGGAUGUUUUCAUUAA